AGAGUUUGAUCAUGGCUCAGGACGAACGCUGGCGGCGUGCUUAACACAUGCAAGUCGAGCGAGAAAGCACCUUCGGGUGUGAGUACAGCGGCGAACGGGUGAGUAACACGUGGGCAACCUGCCCUAGAGACUGGGAUAACGUCCCGAAAGGGACGCUAAUACCGGAUGAUGCGCGAUCUGCCAAGUAGGUCGCGCCAAAUGGUAGCUUCGGCUUCUGCUCUGGGAUAGGCCCGCGCCGGAUUAGCUUGUUGGUGGGGUAACGGCCUACCAAGGCGACGAUCCGUAGCUGGUCUGAGAGGACGAUCAGCCACACUGGGACUGAGACACGGCCCAGACUCCUACGGGAGGCAGCAGUGGGGAAUCUUGCGCAAUGGGCGAAAGCCUGACGCAGCAACGCCGCGUGAGCGAAGACGGCCUUCGGGUUGUAAAGCUCUGUCAGGAGGGACGAAGCCACUCAGGUGAAUAGCCGAGAGGGUGACGGUACCUCCAGAGGAAGCCCCGGCUAACUACGUGCCAGCAGCCGCGGUAAUACGUAGGGGGCAAGCGUUGUCCGGAAUCAUUGGGCGUAAAGCGCGUGUAGGCGGCCAUCCAAGUCCGAUGUGAAAGCUCGGGGCUCAACCCCGAGUCUGCAUUGGAAACUGUAUGGCUUGAGUCCGGAAGAGGAGACUGGAAUUCCUGGUGUAGCGGUGAAAUGCGCAGAUAUCAGGAAGAACACCGGUGGCGAAGGCGGGUCUCUGGGACGGUACUGACGCUGAGACGCGAAAGCGUGGGGAGCAAACAGGAUUAGAUACCCUAGUAGUCC
rnacentral:rRNA from 1 species